rnacentral:tRNA from 1 species
GGCCACGUAGCUCAGUCGGUAGAGCAAUUGCAUGGUAAGCAAUAGGUCAGCGGUUCGAUUCCGCUCGUGGCCUCCA